rnacentral:snRNA from 1 species
GCACUCACUUCAACAGCACAUAUACUAAAACUGGAGCAAUACAGGAAAGAUUAGCAUGACCCCUGUGCAAGAAUGAUACACAAAUUCAUAAAGUGUUCCAUAUUUUU